rnacentral:rRNA from 1 species
GAUCCUGGCUCAGGGUGAACGCUGGCGGCGUGCUUAACACAUGCAAGUCGAGCGAAGCGCUUUUGCGGAUUUCUUCGGAUUGAAGCAACUGUGACUGAGCGGCGACGGGUGAAGGUAACCGCGUGGGUAACCUACCUCAUACAGGGGGAUAACAGUUGGAAACGGCUGCUAAUACCGCAUAAGCGCACAGUACCGCAUGGUACCGUGUGAAAAACUCCGGUGGUAUGAGAUGGACCCGCGU